UGGGUUCUUGAUAGUACUGGCAUAUGGACAUUGUUGUAAUAAUCUUACUCUCAAUGUUCAUCUGUCCGUACUGCCAAGUGCCUG
rfam:Strongylocentrotus purpuratus Contig36050_fixed, whole genome shotgun sequence.